AGUGAACGCUGGCGGCAUGCCUUACACAUGCAAGUCGAACGGCAGCACGGGAGCAAUCCUGGUGGCGAGCGGCGAACGGGUGAGUAAUGUAUCGGAACGUGCCCAGUCGUGGGGGAUAACGCAGCGAAAGCUGUGCUAAUACCGCAUACGAUCUAUGGAUGAAAGCGGGGGAUCGCAAGACCUCGCGCGAUUGGAGCGGCCGAUAUCAGAUUAGGUAGUUGGUGGGGUAAAGGCCCACCAAGCCUGCGAUCUGUAGCUGGUCUGAGAGGACGAUCAGCCACGCUGGGACUGAGGCACGGCCCAGACUCCUACGGGAGGCAGCAGUGGGGAAUUUUGGACAAUGGGCGCAAGCCUGAUCCAGCAAUGCCGCGUGCAGGAUGAAGGCCUUCGGGUUGUAAACUGCUUUUGUACGAGACGAAAAGACUCGCUCUAAUACAGUGGGUACAUGACGGUAUCGUAAGAAUAAGCACCGGCUAACUACGUGCCAGCCGCCGCCGUAA
rnacentral:rRNA from 1 species